AACAAGGAUUCCCCUAGUAACUGCGAGUGAAGCGGGAAAAGCUCAAAUUUUGAAUCUGGCGAUCCUCGUGGUUGUCCGAGUUGUAAUCUAGAGAAGCGUUUUCCGCGCUGGACCGUGUACAAGUCUCCUGGAACGGAGCGUCGCAGAGGGUGAGAAUCCCGUCUAUGACACGGACUACCAGGGCUUAUGUGAUGCGCUCUCGACGAGUCGAGUUGUUUGGGAAUGCAGCUCAAAUCGGGUGGUAAAUUCCAUCUAAAGCUAAAUACAGGCGAGAGACCGAUAGCGAACAAGUACCGUGAGGGAAAGAUGAAAAGAACUUUGGAAAGAGAGUUAAACAGUACGUGAAAUUGCUGAAAGGGAAACGCUUGAAGUCAGUCGCGUCGACCGGGGAUCAGCCUUGCAGUUUUCUGCUGGGCGUACUUCCUGGUCGACGGUCAGCAUCAGUUUUGGUCGUCGGAUAAGGGCCGAAGGUGAAUGUGGCAUCCUUCGGGAUGUGUUAUAGCCCUCGGUCGAAUGCGGCGGCUGGGACUGAGGAACUCAGCACGACCCCUUGUCGGGGUGCGGGGCUUCGGCUCACGCUCGCGUGCUUAGGAUGCUGGCAUAAUGUCUUUAAGCGACCCGUCUUGAAACACGGACCAAGGAGUCCAACUUGCACGCGAGUGUUUGGGUGUUUAAAACCCGAGCGCGUAAUGAAAGUGAAAGUCGAGACCUCUGUCGUGGAGGGCACCGACGCCCGGACCGGAGCUUCUGCGAUGGCCCUGCGGUAGAGCGUGUAUGUUGGGACCCGAAAGAUGGUGAACUAUGCCUGAAUAGGGUGAAGCCAGAGGAAACUCUGGUGGAGGCUCGUAGCGAUUCUGACGUGCAAAUCGAUCGUCGAAUUUGGG
rnacentral:rRNA from 1 species